rnacentral:rRNA from 1 species
AGAACGAACGCUGGCGGCAUGCCUAACACAUGCAAGUCGAACGAGACCUUCGGGUCUAGUGGCGCACGGGUGCGUAACGCGUGGGAAUCUGCCCUUGGGUUCGGGAUAACAGUUGGAAACGACUGCUAAUACCGGAUAAUGACUUCGGUCCAAAGAUUUAUUGCCCAGGGAUGAGCCCGCGUAGGAUUAGCUAGUUGGUGAGGUAAAGGCUCACCAAGGCGACGAUCCUUAGCUGGUCUGAGAGGAUGAUCAGCCACACUGGGACUGAGACACGGCCCAGACUCCUACGGGAGGCAGCAGUGGGGAAUAUUGGACAAUGGGCGAAAGCCUGAUCCAGCAAUGACGCGUGAGUGAUGAAGGCCUUAGGUGUAAGCUCUUUACCGGAUGAUAAUGACAGUACCGGAGAAGUAACGCCCGGACUAACUCCGUGCCAGCAGCCGAC